GACAAACGCUGGCGGCGUACCUAAGACAUGCAAGUCGAACGGGUGCUUCAUCUUCGGAUGGAGUUGCUAGUGGCGGAUGGGUGAGUAACGCGUAGGAACCUGUCGUUGAGUGGGGGAUAACGCUGGGAAACCGGCGCUAAUACCGCAUGUGGUUACCGUGAGAGAUUGCGGUAAAGAAAGGCUACUUGUAGUCGCUCGAUGAGGGGCCUGCGUCCGAUUAGCUAGUUGGUGGGGUAAAGGCCUACCAAGGCGACGAUCGGUAGCUGGUCUGAGAGGAUGGUCAGCCACACUGGGACUGAGACACGGCCCAGACUCCUACGGGAGGCAGCAGUUAGGAAAUUUUUGCAAUGGGGGAAACCCUGACAGAGUAACGCCGCGUGCAGGAUGACGGCUUUCGGGUUGU
rnacentral:rRNA from 1 species